AUACGGAGGGUGCAAGCGUUAUCCGGAUUUACUGGGUUUAAAGGGUGUGUAGGCGGACCAUUAAGUCAGCGGUGAAAUCUCCGGGCUCAACCCGGAAACUGCCAUUGAUACUAUUGGUCUUGAAUGUUGUGGAGGUGGGCGGAACGGGUCAUGUAGCGGUGAAAUGCAUAGAUAUGACCCGGAACACCGAUUGCGAAGGCAGCCCGCUACGCAACGAUUGACGCUGAGGCACGAAAGCGUGGGGAUCAAACAGGAUUAGAUACCCUGGUAGUCCACGCCCUAAACGAUGAUUACUCGACGUGCGCGAUACACUGUGCGCGUCCAAGCGAAAGCAUUAAGUAAUCCACCUGGGAAGUACGUUCGCAAGAAUGAA
rnacentral:rRNA from 1 species